rnacentral:lncRNA from 1 species
CCUAUAAUAUGAUUUAAUAUGCACAUAAGAUCUAAAAAUAAAAAUCUAUAUUGUUCUAAUCGAUGCUACGAUCUAGAUCUUACCAUUAGAUCUAUCAAAAAUGAUCAAUCAAGUUCAGAAACCAUUAUCAAAUUGAAAACUCUUGAUCUCUACUGGUCCAAUGCUUGGAUAGGUGCUCCUUCAAGUUGCUCAUAGCUACAUAAAGUCGUCUGACGUCUACAUAAUAUCUACAUG